UUGCUCCCGGUGUCACCCGGCCUCGGUCUCGGCUGUGGCCAUGUCCCGGAUGUGUGGGGUCGCCGGCAGACUCGGCGCUCGAGGUUCGGGACUCUGGGUCAAGGCCAGUUGUGCGCUCAGGCUGCCAGGUACAGUGUCGCCUUAGCCCCGCAGGGUUGCUGAGGAGCAGGUGGCAGGGCAGUCGGCUCUCCCCCGGUUCUGGGGGACAAUGGUACGCUCCUUGCCAGGGCCCGAGCACCAAGCAGGGUCGCGCCCGCAUCGCUACCUAAGGGACGAGAAAGGCGCACACCAGCAAAGCGCACGGAUAACAAUGGCCAGAUCCAACUUCCUUUCGAUGAAAAUCAAGCCAGAUGGCUUCCAGAGUGACUAAUUCGGUGCACUCAGAAGAAGGACAAUGGACCUGAGGACAGCUUAGCUGACAACCACCCAGCCAAAGAAACGGAAUGAGAAAAGCUCCAGGAGGAACCUGUAAUCCAGCCCACAGAGAGGAGCCUGAUCCAGACCUGCAACCCCAACUCACAUUGCUGCAGGGAGACUUCAGACAAAGAGAUCCUGCUGAGUUGAGCUGACUGUGGUGUCUGCAGCUGGCUGUGGUGGUCCCAGUACCAAGGACUCUUCCUUUACCCAUCUACUCUUCCCAUGAUAUUGACAGCUAUUGCUGUGGCUGCCAGAGCGGCUAAAGCUGCUGGAUUUUUCCUUUAAUCAGUCAGUUGCUUCUGCUAGCGCUAUGGAUACCCUCUCAGGGCAGGUUGCAAAUGCUGUGGCCAUUCAAAUUGAGCUAAAUUUACAAUUGAAUACUGCGGUUAAUUUUGCUGUUGGUUGUGGUUUUUGACCUCUGUUAGGUCAGGAAAGGCUUUUUACUGUUUUUCAUGGACCCUGGAGUACAAGAUUUGCCAAUUGGCUAUUAUUUAUUAUUCUAGUUAGCUAUACCAGGGUUCCUUCCACCAGUGCUGAGACCUUACUUUAAGGGCUCCAUUUUGGGCAGAUUUUUUAAGGAUUGAGCAGGCACAGUCUCCUUUAGGAGUGCUUAUGUGUGCUGGAGCAUCAUCCUCAUGAUUUCAUGGUGCCAGAGCCAAAGGCAAGCUCAGGUCAAUGUUGCCACGUGACAAGUCCUCUUAGCUAUUGCCCCGGAGUAUUUUUCAGCAUAAAUCUGGCUGAACUUGGUGAUGGGUGACUAGUGAGCCAAUGACAGGUAAGGUUUUUGGGGGUUUGCCCCAACCUAAGACAGGAAAUGUGUUUUGACCUGAAUGCUUUCCCAUGAUGGGUAAGGGGUUCUGCCUGACGUCCAUUGCCACCUAAGACAGGCCUAGUCAUAUAAUUUAUAUAAAAGGGGGUCCUGUAGGGCCCCGGUCUCCUCUUACUCCCUGGGGUGCGUUUUGAGGACAGUUUGGUCUGCCAGCUAAAGCUUCCUGCUGUUCCUGUGUUCUCUCUGCCAUAACCUGGUGAUUUAGCCGUAGGGCUUUGCUUCAUCUUUGGUAUGGUAACUUCCCACCAGCCCGGGAGAAUUCCUACACGGCGCCAAGUUCUCUCUCCGCUGCUGUUGCUGCUCUCCGCCCUCAACCCCCUGCCUGGGGAGUAAUCCCUAUGGUGCCAGUUUCCCUACGGUGCCAGGUUCCCCUCUGGCUGGGAGGGAAUUCCUUUACUGGGGCCAAGGUAUUUUAGCUUUGUAUUAAGCUGAAUAAAGUGGCAUUUGGUGAUCUCUUGUCGGAUGA